CUACGGGGGGCAGCAGUGGGGAAUAUUGGACAAUGGGCGAAAGCCUGAUCCAGCCAUGCCGCGUGUGUGAAGAAGGCCUUCGGGUUGUAAAGCACUUUCAGUGGGGAAGAAAGCCUUGGGGCUAAUACCCUCGAGGAAGGACAUCACCCACAGAAGAAGCACCGGCUAACUCCGUGCCAGCAGCCGCGGUAAUACGGAGGGUGCGAGCGUUAAGCGGAAUUACUGGGCGUAAAGCGCGCGUAGGCGGUCUGAUAAGCCGGUUGUGAAAGCCCCGGGCUCAACCUGGGAACGGCAUCCGGAACUGUCAGGCUAGAGUGCAGGAGAGGAAGGUAGAAUUCCCGGUGUAGCGGUGAAAUGCGUAGAGAUCGGGAGGAAUACCAGUGGCGAAGGCGGCCUUCUGGACUGACACUGACGCUGAGGUGCGAAAGCGUGGGUAGCAAACAGGAUUAGAUACCCGUGUAGUC
rnacentral:rRNA from 1 species